rnacentral:lncRNA from 1 species
CUCUUCCUUAGGAAUAGAUAUAACCCAUCAAUUUUAGGCACAACCAAUACAAUUGUGACAGCUCAUAAAAGCUGAAGUUUAGAUUUUUUUUCAUUUAUCAUUCUCUCUCUUCUUCUUGUCUCUAUGCCCAGAUGAUGAUGCCGCAUCACCACCACCAUCAACAACAACACAGAACCUUAUCAUUUUCUCCUCUCUCGCCUAUUUUUCCAUCUUCCAUUAGCCUCACUGCUUACUCCCUGUUUCUUUGUUGCAACAAAGCAUAGAACUCUAAUGGAAAUAUUAAACUAAAAAAAUAUGUUUAAAUUAUUUAGAGAACCCAAAAUGCAAAUUGUUAACAAAGGAAAUUUUUUUAAAUGGAAAUAAUGAUCUUUGUUCAGUUUAUUGGUUUUCCUUUCUAUAAUCUUCAAGCUAGUUCAUUCUCUUUUUCAUAUUAUUUUUCUACUUUUUUAUUUUGAAAAAUCCCAUAUAAUUGGUUUAGUUAUUGAUUAUUGAAACCCAUAUUUGAAGUGAAGAAAGAAACUACAUGAAGACAAAUUUGUUAUAUCAUGAAUUCAAGUUUUUGUGAUGAACUCAAUUAAUCUAGACAUACAAAUUGGGUACCACAUUCUUGAAAAGCUAUCAAAACAAAUUGGCACAGUUUCAACAAGAUGAUGUUUUUGUUGUAUUAGAUUGGGUUUGAUUUUUUGGAUCUGGGAAUUUUAAUUUUAAUUUGCCUGUUUUUCAAAAUAAAACCAAACAAUCUAAUAUAGAAAAACAGAAAGUAAUUGGGGAUUUGGAAUUUCUAGGUUUGGGUUGUGUGGUUUUCAAUUGAGGGAAAUGGAACAUUUUUUUUUUUAAGGCAGAGGGAAAUGGAACAUGUAAUCAUGUAGAUCUGUAUUGCGGGUCAGAUUGAGUGUUGGUGUUGAUGGUGGUGGUGGACUGGUGGUGAUGCAGAAU